rnacentral:tRNA from 1 species
GUUUUAAUAGUUUAAAUAAAACGCUAUUUUGUGAAAAUAGAGAAAUAAAUUUAUUUAAAACA